rnacentral:lncRNA from 10 species
UGAACCCAGGAGGUGGAGGUUGCAGUAAGCCGAGAUCGCCCACUACACUCCAGCCUGGGAGACAACGGGACCCUGUCUCAAAAAAAAAAAAAGAAAAAGCAAAAAGAAAAAAAAAUGCCUCCGGGCAUUGUCAAAUGUCGCCCAGGGUACAAAAGUGUCCCUGGUUAAGACCCACUGCACUAGACCCGCUGAAGAAAACCCCUUAAACCAACCAGACAGGGCUGGUAUGGGCUGGCAUGGGGACUUGCAUGGGGCUGGCAUGGGGACUUGGGACUGCUCCCCCUUCCACCCUCUACUGCUUCUCUUUACUCCUUCCCCAGAUUGGCAGAUCUGGUUCUGCUACCCUCCCCCUGGGAUCAUUUGGGCAGGGGCUUAACCUCUCUGAGCUCCAUUUUCUCAUCUGAAAAAUGGGCCUUAAGAGGCCUUCUUGCACAGGCCCAUUUGGAGUGAUGAUUAUAAUCAUAACGUUGAUGGUAAUAAUAAAACAGCUCACAAUUUCAGAAUGCCAACUUUGUUCCAAGCCCCGUGGUAAGUGAUUUACAUGUCUCAACACAUUGAGGCUUCACACCCAGUGUGUUAGGCUGGGGCUGACAGUGCAGACACCCACUGCCCAUGCCCGGGCUGCUAACUUGCUAUUUUCCCCUCCUUAGGGUGUCACAUUCCACAUUCCAGCCAGUGGGAAAAGGAAAGGGGGAAUGGCAUACCCUUUCCCUUUAAGGUACAACCUAGGCUGGGCACAGUGGUGUGAGCCAGAAGUCCCAGCUACUCGGGAGGCUGAGGCGGGAGAAUCACUUGAGUCCAAGAGUUCUGGGUUGUAGUGCGCUGUGUCAAUCGGGUGCCUACACUAAGCUCAGUAUCAACAUGGUGAUCUCCCUGGGAGAGGGGAACCACCAGGUUGCCUAAGGAGGGCUGAAAUGGCCCAGAUCGGAAAGGUCAAAACUCCCGUGCUGAUCCAGUAGUGGAAUCACUCCCGUAAAUAGCCAGAACACUCCAGCCUGGGCAACAAAGUGAGACCCUGUCUCUAAAAAAAAAAAAAAAAAAAUACAGCCUGGCUGGGCAUGGUGGUUCACCUCUGUAACUCUAGGCCAAGGUGGGAGGGUCACUUAAGGCCAGGAGUUCGAGACCAGCCUGAGUAACAUAGCAAGACCUCAUCUCUAAAAA